UAACAGGAUUCCCCUAGUAACUGCGAGUGAAGCGGGAAGAGCUCAAAUUUAAAAUCUGGCGUGCCUUUGGUCGUCCGAGUUGUAGUCUGGAGAAGCGUUUUCCGUGUUGGACCGUGUAUAAGUCUCUUGGAACAGGGCGUCACAGAGGGUGAGAAUCCCGUCUUUGACACGGACUACCAAUGCUUUGUGAUGCGCUCUCAAAGAGUCGAGUUGUUUGGGAAUGCAGCUCAAAAUGGGUGGUAAAUUCCAUCUAAAGCUAAAUAUAGGCGAGAGACCGAUAGCGAACAAGUACCGUGAGGGGAAGAUGAAAAGCACUUUGGAAAGAGAGUUAAACAGUACGUGAAAUUGCUGAAAGGGAAACGCUUGAAGUCAGUCGCGUCUGCCAGGACUCAGCCUUGCUUUUGCUUGGUGCACUUUCUGGUCGGAUGGGCCAACAUCAAUUUUGACCGUUGGAGAAAGGCUUUGGGAAUGUGGCACCUUCGGGUGUGUUAUAGCCCUCGGUCGUAUACGACGGUUGGGAUUGAGGAUCGCAGCACGCCUUUAUGGCCGGGGUUCGCCCACGUACGUGCUUAGGAUGUUGGCAUAAUGGCUUUAAGCGACCC
rnacentral:rRNA from 1 species